AACGUCUGACACAGGUGGCUGCAUGGCUGUCGUCAGCUCGUGUCGUGAGAUGUUGGGUUUAGUCCCGCAACGAGCGCAACCCUUGUGUUUAGUUUGCAAACAGGUCAAGCUGUGCACUCUAGACAGACUGCCGUGGACAACACGGAGGAAGUGGGGAUGACGUCAAAUCAUCAUGCCCCUUAUGAUCUGGGCUACACACGUGCUACAAUGGCCGGUACAACGGGCAGCGAAGGAGCGAUCCGGAGCGAAUCCUAAAAAGCCGGUCCCAGUUCGGAUUGCAGGCUGAAACUCGCCUACAUGAAGUUGGAGUUGCUAGUAAUCGCGAAUCAGAAUGUCGCGGUGAAUGCGUUCCCGGGUCUU
rnacentral:rRNA from 1 species